rnacentral:rRNA from 1 species
UACGAAGGGGACUAGCGUUGUUCGGAAUCACUGGGCGUAAAGCGCACGUAGGCGGAUAUGUCAGUCAGGGGUGAAAUCCCGGGGCUCAACCUCGGAACUGCCUUUGAUACAGCAUGUCUUGAGUCCGAUAGAGGUGGGUGGAAUUCCUAGUGUAGAGGUGAAAUUCGUAGAUAUUAGGAAGAACACCAGUGGCGAAGGCGGCUCACUGGCUCGGUACUGACGCUGAGGUGCGAAAGCGUGGGGAGCAAACAGG